rnacentral:rRNA from 1 species
GACAGAGGUGCCAAGCGUUAGGCGGAAUCACUGGGCUUAAAGCGUGUGUAGGCGGGUCGUUAAGUGGCUUGUGAAAUCCCCCGGCUCAACCGGGGAAUGGCUGGGCAUACUGGCGAUCUUGAGCAGUCUAGGGGCAGAUGGAACAGACGGUGGAGCGGUGAAAUGCGUAGAUAUCGUCUGGAACGCCAAAGGUGAAAACAGUCUGCUGGGGACUUGCUGACGCUGAGACACGAAAGCCAGGGGAGCGAACGGG